UAGCAGUGUGCUAUAUUGCCUCACUGCUCGUUGAGUCUCACUUUGGUUUUUGAUCUUGAAUAAGAAAUAAGCCAUGAAGCCCAUUGCUACUAAAAUGAUGAGGACCAGAUUACAUGUUUUUUACUGUAUGAUUUGUCUGGUAGCCAGCAGCCUAUUUUUCUCCAUUCAGAGAAGUGUGAUGGAGGUCCAUCCAGACACCCACAGCCCUUUCAAUGGGUUCUGCCUGGCCAGAAGAAGCCUUCUGAAGGCAAGGGUGAAGUACCUGGGUACCAGACAAUUCAGCAGUGUGGGUGGAGGACAGACAAGGAGCAGCUCAUGGUCUUAGCCAGGUCCAAACACUCCAAGAGGAGAGAGGAAAGCAUUUGCUCUCCCCUGGCUCUGCAGGCUGCCAGGGAGCCCAUCACUGGUAAAGCGAGGAUUCUCAGGCAGUACUUGCAAUCCUCUCCAGAUCACACAGCCCAAGUUAAAAAUAAAUGAUUGCUAUUAUAACAUUUACUUCUGCCCUUGCAUAGGAAGAGAUACAGAAAAGAGAGAAGGCCAGA